AAAAUUGCUGGUCUGAGGCUACCAUUCGCGCCCUUUGAGGCCCCAGGCAGUCUGGCCAGCAUUGAAUAGUUGCGUUAAGCGGAGAAAUUUGGAUGGCCCGUAUUGCAGGCGUCAACAUCCCGGAU
rfam:Alcanivorax pacificus W11-5, complete genome.